rnacentral:tRNA from 1 species
GGGGAUGUAGCUCACUGGGAGAGCACUUACCUAACACAUGGGAAGCCCGGGUUCAAUCCCCAGCAACCCCA